CAACGCGAAAACCUUACCUACCCUUGACAUGCUAGGAACUUGCCAGAGAUGGCUUGGUGCCCGAAAGGGAACCUAGACACAGGUGCUGCAUGGCUGUCGUCAGCUCGUGUCGUGAGAUGUUGGGUUAAGUCCCGCAACGAGCGCAACCCUUGUCAUUAAUUGCCAUCAUUCAGUUGGGCACUUUAAUGAGACUGCCGGUGACAAACCGGAGGAAGGUGGGGAUGACGUCAAGUCCUCAUGGCCCUUAUGGGUAGGGCUUCACACGUAAUACAAUGGUCGGUACAGAGGGUUGCCAACCCGCGAGGGGGAGCCAAUCCCAGAAAACCGAUCGUAGUCCGGAUUGUAGUCUGCAACUCGACUGCAUGAAGUCGGAAUCGCUAGUAAUCGUGGAUCAGAAUGUCACGGUGAAUACGUUCCCGGGUCUU
rnacentral:rRNA from 1 species